rnacentral:lncRNA from 1 species
AUGAAGUACAAUCCCUUUGUGACUUCUGACCGAAGCAAGAACUGCAAAAGGCAUUUCAAUGCACCUUCCCACACUCGCAGAAAGAUUAUGUCUUCCCCUCUUUCCAAAGAGCUGAGACAAAAGUACAAUGUUCGAUCGAAGACCAUCCAAAAGGAUGACGAAGUUCAGGUUGCGCGAGGACACUGUAAGGGUCAGCAAAUUGGCCAAAUAAUCCAGGUUUACAGGAAGAAAUAUGCCAUCUACAUUGAACGGGUGCAGUGGGAAAAGGCUAACAGCAUAGCUGUCCCUGUGGGCAUUCACCCAGCAAGGUGGUUAUCACUAGACUAAAACUUGACAAAGGCCACAAAAAGAUCCUUGAACGGAAAGCCAAAUCUCGCCAAGUAGGAAAGGAAAAUGGCAAAUACAAGAAAGAAACAAUAGGGAAGGUGCAGGAAUAA